AGGUCCCCACUGUAGCGGCCGUCAAGGAACUGAAUCCCGCCAGUGAGCAUCUGGUAAAAUGUGGGAGAGAUCGUUGCAGCAGAGAACUGAGCACGGUCUCCAUUCACCAUUCGGCAAGGAAGCAAGGUCCCCACUGUAGCGGCCGUCAAGGAACUGAAUCCCGCCAGUGAGCAUCUGGUAAAAUGUGGGAGAGAUCGUUGCAGCAGAGAACUGAGCACGGUCUCCAUUCACCAUUCGGCAAGGAAGCAAGGUCCCCACUGUAGCGGCCGUCAAGGAACUGAAUCCCGCCAGUGAGCAUCUGGUAAAAUGUGGGAGAGAUCGUUGCAGCAGAGAACUGAGCACGGUCUCCAUUCACCAUUCGGCAAGGAAGCAAGGUCCCCACUGUAGCGGCCGUCAAGGAACUGAAUCCCGCCAGUGAGCAUAUGCUCCACUAUUUAUACUGGAGACCAUGAACAAAGGAAGAAAAUGGCACAAAACACAGAGGAUUUGCAUGGAACCAACAGAAUUUGCUCCUCUCACCAUGGCUGUCUCUGCUGAAUGUACUGUUUGUCAGCAGCAGAGACUUAUGUCAAACCCUUAAUAGGGUAGCAUACCUUCUG